AAAAAAAAUUGACAUAUUAAUGUCUUAAGUAAACAAUUUUAUUUUGAACUUGGUCAGAAAAGCCAAUAUGAUAUAACGGACAAAUCGAACAUAGCUUAGACAAGAAAGGCCAUUGGUGCCGACAACAAUUCGAGCACAGAGGACAAAUUCACCUCAGUUGUUCAUGAUACUACGAAUAGUCAUCAACAUAGACAAAAAUGGGACACUAGGAUAUAUCAAGUCACAAAGGAAAUUAGAUGCCGAUUACCAUUGAGAUCAAAGAUUCAGAAAUGAAGCUAGAAAAAAGACGAAAGGAGUCGACAGAAAUGGAUGGUGGACACAACAGUGGGCACAACGAAGGAUGACCCAGCGGUUAGAGAUAUAGGAACACUAAUUCUUUAUAAUGUACAUAGCGAAGGAAUCAGUUAACGUUGUAAAUGUUAGAACCAAAAAUAGGUUGAGUAGGGAUUUUACAUGUACCAACAAUAAUUAUUCUAGCAAGCCAAAUAUGCCUUCUCCGUGUUUUUAAUUCAAAAGGAUUUAAUUAAAAACUCGAAUGGUUGGGGCGUAUGUACCAGCCUAGCAUCAUGAUACGGUACUUUCUACGUAUCCGGGAAAUGAUGGUUUUCUUGCACAUAGCCUGACGAAGCAAAGUAACGGGUGCUUCCUCGUUGCAGUGGUUUGUUGCGUAACUGCAAAACCAGAAGUCAAUUUGGUUUUGUUUGUUUUACCUUGGCCAGGAAUCCGACAGUGCCAAAUUUAAAGUGACAUAAUUUUACCGCUAUGGAGUAAAGCAAACAAACGUGCGCGAGAACUUUUUACUUACGCAGCUUUCCGGUUUGCUUAGCCCUAUAGGCGGCGGGUAAUCGUAUUGUUUUGCUUAAGUUUUUCAUUUCAGCCACACCACAAACCGCGAAGAACGGUGACUCACAUGCGGAUUUUGUUACGCUCAUCGCUCACGGAUCGU